GACGAACGCUGGCGGCGUGCUUAACACAUGCAAGUCGAACGGAAAGGCCCUGCUUGCAGGGUACUCGAGUGGCGAACGGGUGAGUAACACGUGGGUGAUCUGCCCUGCACUUCGGGAUAAGCCUGGGAAACUGGGUCUAAUACCGGAUAGGAGCCAUUUUUAGUGUGAUGGUUGGAAAGUUUUUUCGGUGUAGGAUGAGCUCGCGGCCUAUCAGCUUGUUGGUGGGGUAAUGGCCUACCAAGGCGGCGACGGGUAGCCGGCCUGAGAGGGGGGACGGCCACAUUGGGACUGAGAUACGGCCCAGACUCCUACGGGAGGCAGCAGUGGGGAAUAUUGCACAAUGGGCGCAAGCCUGAUGCAGCGACGCCGCGUGGGGGAUGACGGCCUUCGGGUCGUAAACUCCUUUCGCUAGGGACGAAGCUUUGUGUGACGGUACCUAGAUAAGAAGCACCGGCUAACUACGUG
rnacentral:rRNA from 1 species